GACGAACGCUGGCGGCGUGCUUAACACAUGCAAGUCGAACGGAAAGGCCUUUUCGGAGGUACUCGAGUGGCGAACGGGUGAGUAACACGUGGGUGAUCUGCCCUGCACUCUGGGAUAAGCCUGGGAAACUGGGUCUAAUACCGGAUAGGACCGCACUUUAGUGUGUGUGGUGGAAAGUUUUUUCGGUGUAGGAUGGGCCCGCGGCCUAUCAGCUUGUUGGUGGGGUAAUGGCCUACCAAGGCGGCGACGGGUAGCCGGACUGAGAGGUUGGUCGGCCACAUUGGGACUGAGAUACGGCCCAGACUCCUACGGGAGGCAGCAGUGGGGAAUAUUGCACAAUGGGCGCAAGCCUGAUGCAGCGACGCCGCGUGGGGGAUGACGGCCUUCGGGUUGUAAACUCCUUUCGCCAGGGACGAAGCGUUUUGUGACGGUACCUGGAGAAGAAGCACCGGCUAACUACGUG
rnacentral:rRNA from 1 species